CUGACUGCCAGUGGGGAUGGGUCUUUUCUGGAGAUUCACUCUGCUGGAGUUUCCUAAGUGAGCCCAGGAUAUGGAAUGUCAGCAUUUAUGGUAAAAGUCAAUCAAGUGCUCAGUUGUUCUGCUUAAUCAGGAAGAAAUGGUAUCACGUGGCUAUGAGAAGCUAUCAUCUGGAAUUAUACAAGCGUCACUAACUCAAAGGACCAUCAAUGUUGUAGAAAGCAAAGCCUUAAAAGAAGAAGGAGUAGAAAGAACAUCGAAUACAACCCAAAGAAUUGCAAGGAAGACCAGACAAAGCAUUCACCCAGACAGCUGAGACAGUUUUUUUGUAGACUGUGCCAAUAUUGACUUCCACUUAAAGCGCUAAUUUUUUUUUACAGAAAAGCUUAACAUUCCACAGUUUACUUGCUCAUGAAAUAUAAGGUGAACAGAGACACUGAAGCAAAUGAUAUUAAAAAAUGCAUUGAGCCAGGAAAUAUUCAAGGCUCCAAUAUAUUAUCUUUUAAGGUCUGAGAGAGUGAACAGUGUUGUGCCAUCAUGCUAACUGGAAUAGCUGGAUUUAGAAGGAAUUUGCUUUUGAAGCUGGUCUCUAAAAGAUUGAGGGGCUUCUUGUCACACUCACACUUUAAAGAUUUUUUUUAAAGUUAUGGAUUGCCUAUCAAGUUGUUAAGAACUGAGUAUCAAAGUAGACGUGACCAACUGAACAUAUUUCAAAGGAGUGUGGUAUGAUAACAACUGUUUGAUCCCUCCCCAUUCCACAAAGGUUAUCUCCGUCACUUUCAAGUGUGGGGAGAAAGGCCAAGUUGGCUUGGUUAGCUGUUGAUGUGAACUCAGAAGACUAGGCUGUGGUCUUUCUGCUUCCUCUAUUGCACUAACAGCAGUCAGAGAACUAAAAACAAACAGGGAAGAAUGGUGUUUGCACGUUACUCAUUUGAACAACAAAGCUUUUCCACUUCUCUUCCCAUCCCAGAACACGAGGCAGACACGUUCAGAGCCCCUUCUUUUAUUUUUAACUUCUAUUCCACUGAGUCAGAGAAUUUGAACUCUGAACACUGAAAGUCUGAAAGAGCAGGAUCCCGUAAAGAAAUUCCACCAAACUUCCCACUGAAUGGGAAGUCCAUAUGUAGGUAUCAGAUCCUAACAUAAUGUGUGUCUGCAUGAAGCAGACCCAUAUGGGACAGCAAUACUGCACCAGGUCUCUGUGCAGACAACAAUACUCUGCUGUGACACACUUAUUCUUUCCUAUUUUUCAAGAAACUAGUGUUGUGGUGAUUAAUUCCAGUUAAGCCCCAGACUAUUACAAUAUUCAGGUAUGUAUUUUGAGUGGGAGGCAAAUCUUUGCAAAGAGGAAAUUGCUAAACUCCACAAUCAGAGAGUUUAGAGACGGCAUGAGUACGCACGACACAAGAAGUUCUUUCUAUAGAGUUGCCAAUAGUCAGGAUUACAAAUUGCCAACAUUUGCUGAGAUGAAUGAAAAGGUUUUGAUACAGUGUGGGAUGGUCUUUAAAAUGAAUUGUACUUGUCCUCUGAGUAACGUGCUACUUCCUAUCUGGAGACAAAUGAAAGAGACAAAAUCAGAGAGGUGAAAAAAAAUCUCACUGUCUACAAGAUCUGAUUUAAAUAUAUUUGUUAUGUAGACCAAGGGACCAUUCUGGUCUACUUAUAUGAUGAUUCAUACAGAAAAAGUUCAUAGAGUCAUAGAAUCAUUAAGGUUGGAAAAAACCUGUAAGAUCACCUAGUCCAACCAUCCACCUGCCAACCAAUACUGCCCACCAAUCCAUGUCCUUUAGUGCCACAUCCAAAUGUUUUUUGAGCACCUCCAGGGACUGUGGUUCCACUACCUCCCUAGGCAGCCCAUUCCAGUGCCUGACAACUCCUUCUGAUAGUAAUUUUUCUCUAAUACUCAAA